AAACCAUGAUGGGGACACUUUAAGAUCAAGUCCUUAAAUCUCUCCCAACUCUCAUAAAAUUUCUCUUGUUCAUCCUGAUAAAAAUCUGCAAUUUCUCUCCUCAAAGCAU